rnacentral:rRNA from 1 species
GUAGGUGGCAAGCGUUGUCCGGAAUUAUUGGGCGUAAAGCGCGCGCAGGCGGUUCUUUAAGUCUGAUGUGAAAGCCCACGGCUCAACCGUGGAGGGUCAUUGGAAACUGGAGAACUUGAGUACAGAAGAGGAAAGCGGAAUUCCACGUGUAGCGGUGAAAUGCGUAGAGAUGUGGAGGAACACCAGUGGCGAAGGCGGCUUUCUGGUCUGUAACUGACGCUGAGGCGCGAAAGCGUGGGGAGCAAACAGGAUUAGAUACCCUGGUAGUCCACGCCGAAAACGAUGAGUGCUAAGUGUUAGGGGGGUUUUCCGCCCCCCUUAGUGCUGCAGCUAACGCAUUAAGCACUCCGCCUGGGAGUACGGCCGCAAGGCUG